UUUUAGUGGAUAUCUAUUCUUCUGCAACCCAAAGAGCUAAAACAGAAUUUUACUAAAGCCAGGGAUAGAAAAGUAUGCAAAUAACAUGUCACAUGGCAUGCCAAAACAGCAAAAGCUUAGCGGUUCAGAAGAAGGAAGGAUUCUACCAAGAUGGACUGGGAACCAGGACUCCCCUCAGCACUGAGUCUGCCUCAGGAACCUGUUUAACUCCCCCAGGAGGAAUUCAAGUGAUAUGAUUGGGUAUGAACCCCCCACCCAAGUUGCCUCAGGGCAACUAAACACACAAUGGUCAAAUCAGUUGAGAGUUUAAUUAGAACAUGGGGUAGACACAGCUAACUGUCCGUGAAAAAUGUAUGCUUCUUUCUUUCUUUCAUAGUAGAGGGUCAGGCAUGGACUACAUUUCCCAGCACCCCCCUUUACAUCCAGACUAGAGGCAACUAAGCUACAUUAGAAGACACGUCUUGAAAGUGCCAGCACUUCCUCCAACCUAGAUCCCUGAAUGACUGAAUGGAGAACGGCUUCCCCAACACCCAUUCCCUACUCCCCACCUAGAACUGCUCAGGAUAGUUAACAUCAGCAAGAAAAAACUCCCAUUGUGUUGAAUCAUUGUAUAGUUUUGCGUCAGUUUGUUAUAGUAGCUAGCAUUACACUAAUAAAUUGAGUGUAUUUCUUGUCUUUCA